AGUGAACGCUGGCGGUAGGCCUAACACAUGCAAGUCGAACGGCAGCACAGUAAGAGCUUGCUCUUACGGGUGGCGAGUGGCGGACGGGUGAGGAAUACAUCGGAAUCUACUUUUUCGUGGGGGAUAACGUAGGGAAACUUACGCUAAUACCGCAUACGACCUACGGGUGAAAGCAGGGGAUCUUCGGACCUUGCGCGAUUGAAUGAGCCGAUGUCGGAUUAGCUAGUUGGCGGGGUAAAGGCCCACCAAGGCGAAGAUCCGUAGCUGGUCUGAGAGGAUGAUCAGCCAAACUGGAAUUGAGAGACGGUCAAAACGCCUACGGGGGGCACCAGUGGGGAAUUUCGGCCAAGGGGCGCAAGCCGGAUCCAGCCAUACCGCGUGGGUGAAGAAGUCCUUCGGGUUGUAAAGCCCUUUUGUUGGGAAAGAAAAGCGGCAGGUUAACACCCCGCUGUUCUGACGGUACCCAAAGAAUAAGCACCGGCUAACUUCGU
rnacentral:rRNA from 1 species